rnacentral:rRNA from 1 species
UUGGAGGGCAAGUCUGGUGCCAGCAGCCGCGGUAAUUCCAGCUCCAAUAGUGUAUAUUAAAGUUGUUGCAGUUAAAAAGCUCGUAGUUGAAUUUCGGGGUCAGCAGGUUGGUCGUGCCACUGGUAUGCACUGGUUUCGCUGAUUCCUCCUUUCUGAAGAACUGUAAUGUCAUUAAUUUGGUGUUGCAGGGAAACAGGACUGUUACUUUGAAAAAAUUAGAGUGUUUAAAGCAAGCUAACGCUUGAAUACAUUAGCAUGGAAUAAUGAAAUAGGACGUUUGAUCCUAUUUUGUUGGUUUCUAGGAUUGACGUAAUGAUUAAUAGGGAUAGUUGGGGGCAUUAGUAUUCAAUUGUCAGAGGUGAAAUUCUUGGAUUUAUUGAAGACUAACUACUGCGAAAGCAUUUGCCAAGGAUGUUUUCAUUAAUCAAGAACGAAAGUUAGGGGAUCGAAGACGAUCAGAUACCGUCGUAGUCUUAACCAUAAACUAUGCCGACUAGGGAUCGGAUGAUGUUAAUUUUUUAAUGACUCAUUCGGCGCCUUACGGGAAAC